rnacentral:rRNA from 2 species
GAUUAACGCUGGCGGUACGUCUAAUACAUGCAAGUCGAACGAGUGGCGAACGGGUGAGUAACACGUAGGUAACCUGCCUACAAGUUGGGGAUAACACAAGGAAACUUGUGCUAAUACCGAAUAAUUAAAGCUGCUUGAAGAGGGGCCUGCGGCGCAUUAGUUAGUUGGUAAGGUAAUGGCUUACCAAGACGAUGAUGCGUAGCUGGACUGAGAGGUUGAACAGCCACAUUGGGACUGAGAAACGGCCCAGACUCCUACGGGAGGCAGCAGUAGAGAAUCUUCGGCAAUGGGGGAAACCCUGACCGAGCGAUACCGCGUGAGUGAUGAAAUACUUCGGUAUGUAAAAUUCUUUUAUUAAAGAAGAUGACGUUAUUUAAUGAAUAAGUCCCGGCUAACUAUGUGCCAGCAGCCGCGGUAAUACAUAGGGGACGAGCGUUAUCCGGAAUAAUUGGGCGUAAAGGGUGCGUAGGCGGUGUGUUAAGUUCAAGGUUUAAUCGUAGGGCUCAACCCUAUAUCGCUUUGAAAACUGGCACACUAGAGUAAGAUAGAGGCAAGUGGAAUUCCAUGUGUAGCGGUAAAAUGCGUAAAUAUAUGGCAGAACACCAGAGGCGAAGGCGGCUUGCUGGGUCUACCGACGCUGAGGCACGAAAGCGUGGGGAGCAAACAGGAUUAGAUACCCUGGUAGUCCACGCCGUAAACGAUGAGCACUAAAAGUCGGGUUCGGCUUUCAAGUUAACGCGAUAAGUGCUCCGCCUGAGUAGUACGUACGCAAGUAUAAAACUCAAAGGAAUUGGCGGGACCUCGCACAAGCGGUGGAUCAUGUUGUUUAAUUCGUUGAUACGCGAUGAACCUUACCAGGCCUUGACAUAUACAGGUGGUGCAUGGUUGUCGUCAGCUCGUGUCGUGAGAUGUUAGGUUAAGUCCUGCAACGAGCGCAACUCUUAUUGCUAUUUGCCAUCAUGGGCACUAUAGUGAGACUGCCAGUGAUAAACUGGAGGAAGGUGGGAAUGACGUCAAAUCAUCAUGCCCCUUAUGGCCUGGGCCACAAACGUGAUACAAUGGUUGUCAAAAGGAUGCUAGAAAGUGAUUUUAGGCAAAUCCUUACAAUCUCAGUUCGGAUGAAGUCUGCAACUCGACUUCAGAAGUCGGAAUCGCUAGUAAUCGUAGAUCAGAACGCUACGGUGAAUACGUUCUCGAGGUUUGCACACACCGCCCGUCAAACCACGAAAGUUAACAAUACCCAAAACCGGUGCCUAAGGAGCCGUCUAAGGUAGGGUUAAUGAUUGGGGU